rnacentral:rRNA from 1 species
AUUGAACGCUGGCGGCAGGCCUAACACAUGCAAGUCGAGCGAGCGGCGGACGGGUGCGAAAUGUCUCGGAAACUGCUUGAUGGAGGGGGAUAACUACUGGAAACGGUAGCUAAUAUCGCAUACCAUCAGAUGUGUCCAGAUGGGAUUAGCUCUUGGUUGGGGUAUCGGCUCACCCAGGCGACGAUCCCUAGCUGGUCUGAGAGGAUGACCAACCACCCUGGAACUGAGACACGGGCCAGACUCCUACGGGAGGCAGCAGUGGGGAAUAUUGCACAAUGGGCGCAAGCCUGAUGCAGCCAUGCCGCGUGUGUGAAGAAGGCCUUCGGGUUGUAAAGCACUUUCAGCGGGGAGGCGUUACCCGCAGAAGAAGCACCGGCUAACUCCGUGCCAGCAGCCGCGGUAAUUC